rnacentral:rRNA from 1 species
UACGUAGGGUGCAAGCGUUGUCCGGAAUUAUUGGGCGUAAAGAGCUCGUAGGCGGUCUGUCGCGUCGGAUGUGAAAAUCCAGGGCUCAACCCUGGACCUGCAUUCGAUACGGGCAGACUAGAGUUCGGUAGGGGAGACUGGAAUUCCUGGUGUAGCGGUGAAAUGCGCAGAUAUCAGGAGGAAUACCGAUGGCGAAGGCAGGUCUCUGGGCUGACACUGACGCUCAUGCACGAAAGCGUGGGGAGCAAACAGG